rnacentral:rRNA from 1 species
UACGUAGGGUGCAAGCGUUGUCCGGAAUUAUUGGGCGUAAAGAGCUCGUAGGCGGUUUGUCGCGUCUGCUGUGAAAACCCGAGGCUCAACCUCGGGCCUGCAGUGGGUACGGGCAGACUAGAGUGCGGUAGGGGAGACUGGAAUUCCUGGUGUAGCGGUGAAAUGCGCAGAUAUCAGGAGGAACACCGGUGGCGAAGGCGGUUCCUCUGGG